AUGAAACGUUGCGCACUUAAUUCUAAUCAGUCAACAUGCACCUUAAUUUAUUUUUCAAGUCAAGACUAUAUAGAGCACACUUCACUAUUUGCAGAUGGAGUACACUCACUGACUGUACUCCGCAUUAUAGCAGCACGCGCGCGCCGCUUAUGUUAAUGAGCUGCGCGCGACCAUGGUGUUUAUGAUCCAUGGGUCGACCAAGUUUAUGUAUGAACAAUGCAAGACAACACGGAAUGCAACAUGGCAAACAUUCUAUAUUGCUAUUGCGACCAUAUAUAAACUUGAUCUGCAGAGUGUUUUCACGGCGGCUAUGUUUGGGAACAAGUUAAAGUGCCGAAAUACAAGUUAACAAGAAAACCAUUAUUUAAAAAUACUUGUCCGUCGACAAAGCAACACGUGAAAACACUCUAUUUUUCCUGGCGGUCUUUUCGGCUGGAAACUUAUAGUACAAUUUAUAAAGCGCGCGCGCAAUGCAUUAGCAACCUAAAGAAACGAGCCUAUUCUCCACUUUGGAGCGAGAACUACGUUUCUUAUCGUUAAGCUCCUAAUCCAAGAUAUCUUGGCAGAAAAUUGUUUCUUUUUUGUUCUUUUUUCUGCAACAAGUAUUCUUGGACUAUUGUUGCUUAUAUUCAAAGUGGUUUCGCGGUUUUCUUUUUUAUUCCUCUUUUUCGCAAUAUUUUUUAUUUCUCUUUUUCGCAAUAUUUUCUUUUUUAUUUCUCUUUUUCGCAAUAUUUUCUUUUUUCCACUUUGAAUUGAUUCUGUAAGUAUUUUUCAACAGCUAGGAAGACAGAUUCCAUUUUCCUGCUGUGUUAAAUACUUCUCAGAAUGUUACUGCCGCAAAAGUAUGAUGAUAAUGAAUUAUAGUAAACAUGCAAAGCGCCCCAUUUCUAGCUGUCUAACCUUCCUAACUAGUGCGCGCGCACAUAUCAUUUCAAAAACCUGCAAGGGAAACCCCCGAAUGUGGAGUCUCGGUCAUGCCCCUAGCUUAACUUAACUUAACUUAACCUAGUGUGCCGGUUGCACCUGAUGAGCUUCCACAAACAGGGGUAAGGUUUGCAUGCCUUAUGGUAAUGUCUUCCAUCGUCGAACCGCCAUAACAGAGAGGGAACCUAAUCUCUGGUAGCGAACUGUUUUCAUAUAACCCGGCGCAGAAAACCAACGUUCGAAACCAGCGAUAUACAUGCACUACGGCCUUAUUCACUAAAGCCCAGACUGUUUAUCAUUACAAUAAUUAUUUCAUUACAG